UGGUAUAACUCCAUCAUCGUUAUACAUAAACUCACAGAUGUCGAGUUUCCUUCUAAUGCGCUUCUCGUGUUUCCAGCGUAAAAUGAUGCAGACCAUACUUGUAUGUUUUAAUUUAAUGUUGCUGUGUGCGUAUUUAGGUGCAAAUGCUGUUCCAGAUAUUCCGACCCAGCCUCUCCAGUGUGUGGGGAGGCCAGCACCAGGGCGGGACGGUAAAGAUGGCCUUCCAGGCACUGCCGGGACGGAUGGAAGAGACGGCUUGACGGGACGA